rnacentral:rRNA from 1 species
UGGGGAAUAUUGCACAAUGGGCGCAAGCCUGAUGCAGCCAUGCCGCGUGUAUGAAGAAGGCCUUCGGGUUGUAAAGUACUUUCAGCGGGGAGGAAGGCGAUAAGGUUAAUAACCUUGUCGAUUGACGUUACUCGCAGAAGAAGCACCGGCUAACUCCGUGCCAGCAGCCGCGGUAAUACGGAGGGUGCAAGCGUUAAUCGGAAUUACUGGGCGUAAAGCGCACGAAGGCGGUCUGUCAAGUCGGAUGUGAAAUCCCCGGGCUCAACCUGGGAACUGCAUUCGAAACUGGCAGGCUAGAGUCUUGUAGAGGGGGGUAGAAUUCCAGGUGUAGCGGUGAAAUGCGUAGAGAUCUGGAGGAAUACCGGUGGCGAAGGCGGCCCCCUGGACAAAGACUGACGCUCAGGUGCGAAAGCGUGGGGAGCAAACA